UACAGAGGGUGCGAGCGUUAAUCGGAAUUACUGGGCGUAAAGCGCGCGUAGGCGGCUUUGCAAGUCGGGUGUGAAAUCCCCAGGCUUAACCUGGGAACUGCAUUCGAGACUGCAUUGCUAGAGUAUGGGAGAGGGAAGUGGAAUUUCAGGUGUAGCGGUGAAAUGCGUAGAUAUCUGGAGGAAGGCCGGUGGCGAAGGCGGCGCUCUGGAACGUUUCUGACGCUGAGGCUCGAAAGCGUGGGGAGCAAACAGG
rnacentral:rRNA from 1 species